GACGAACCGUGCAAACGUUAUUCGGAAUCACUGGGCUUAAAGGGCGCGUAGGCGGGUGGUCAAGUCAGGGGUGAAAUCUUUCAGCUCAACUGGAAAAUAGCUUUUGAUACUGACCAUCUAGAGGGGGGUAGGGGCAUGUGGAACUUCCGGUGGAGCGGUGAAAUGCGUAGAUAUCGGAAGGAACGCCGGUGGCGAAAGCGACGUGCUGGACCCUUUCUGACGCUGAGGCGCGAAAGCCAGGGGAGCAAACGGG
rnacentral:rRNA from 1 species